CUACGUGACGAAGCGCGCCGGGCGGGCGACAAUACCGCCUGAGCUGCAAUCACGUCGCCCUGACGCCGGUUCUACCGGCGUUUUUUA
rnacentral:sRNA from 1 species